GUUGUUCAGUGCUGAGGCGUGGAACAAGCACUGAGCAAUAUCUGACACCUGUGGGGACUGUAUCUGUGCUGCAUUUCUUCCUAGAGCAGU
ensembl:snoRNA